GAUGAACGCUGGCGGCGUGCCUAAUACAUGCAAGUCGAGCGAACAGAUGAGGAGCUUGCUCCUCUGACGUUAGCGGCGGACGGGUGAGUAACACGUGGAUAACCUACCUAUAAGACUGGGAUAACUUCGGGAAACCGGAGCUAAUACCGGAUAAUAUAUUGAACCGCAUGGUUCAAUAGUGAAAGACGGUUCUGCUGUCACUUAUAGAUGGAUCCGCGCCGCAUUAGCUAGUUGGUAAGGUAACGGCUUACCAAGGCAACGAUGCGUAGCCGACCUGAGAGGGUGAUCGGCCACACUGGAACUGAGACACGGUCCAGACUCCUACGGGAGGCAGCAGUAGGGAAUCUUCCGCAAUGGGCGAAAGCCUGACGGAGCAACGCCGCGUGAGUGAUGAAGGUCUUCGGAUCGUAAAACUCUGUUAUUAGGGAAGAACAAAUGUGUAAGUAACUAUGCACGUCUUGACGGUACCUAAUCAGAAAGCCACGGCUAACUACGUG
rnacentral:rRNA from 1 species